GUGUCUGCCACUCCCGCCAUGAUUCAGACUGUCCCACUGUCUGAAAGCCUGAGAUUAAUAGUACCGGUCCAACUGACUGAUCAGCGGGGGUGUGAGCGUGGAGGGCCAGGUUGUCAGUGAGGGGGGGUCCUUUGAGCUGGGACUUGCUGUUCUAAUGUCAACUCACUACAACUUUAACCUGCAAUACCAGGACCAGGCUGCAUGCUCGUUGGAGUUCAUUCAGAGGAUCUGCAUGGGGACUAAUCCUGAGAGAGGAUCAAAGGCACCCAGCAGAAAAACUGGAAAGAUGGUCCAGAAGAAACCUUCAACAGUGAACCCGCAUGUCUGCACCCUGAUCAGGAAGCUCAACGACUUCAAGUGGGACUUUGUUUGAGUUUCUCUUGUAUUGUUUUGUUUAGCUGCAGAUAUCACUUGUCAUUCAUCAAUUAACAAUAUCUGCUAGUUUUUGUGUUGUUUAGUUCAGUUCUUGCGGCUGUAUGUAGUGUUUUGCCCCA